UAAAUAUUCUUGAAGGUUACUGGAAUUACAUAGAUCAUCAAAUUGUGCUAGACAGAAUAAAAUGCAACUGAAAUUCUCACCUCUACUAUCGACUGCACUCUUACCUCUUUCAGAGACACUGCUGGUUCUACGCAUUUCCUAGGACCAAAUAGAGAAAACCUCCUCUACCCCUAUUCUAAGAGUUAAAACAACCAAAGUAAAAAAAUUUUAAGGUAUUUUUACCUCUAGAUAAAAAAGGAGAUAAGCUGGUUUUGUUUUGUUUUUUUUACCUUGCAGAAGGCUAAGGAACCCACUGAGUUGUGUAGCCUCUAUAAUAAUUCAUAAACGCCCCGAACCAGACCUAUGAAAUAAUUUGGGGCGAAGGUGGUGGGGUGGAAGUAAAAACUAAAGAUUAUCAGGAAGGAAAAAAAGGAGAAGGAUUUUAGUGACGCGCCUUUACUUCAGAAAGGCAGUUUUUAGUACCCCAUCCACUAAUUCCAUGCCAAGGAUCGCGUGGCGCGGAAACCCUGCCGAAUUUGAAAACAAACGUUUCGAGGCUCCGAGGGACUGGAAAGGGGGUUGGUAACUGACAGCUCAGCCUCGGAGCAAGAAGCCUCAAUUAGGUCAGACUGUGUCGACGGCCAGAAAUCGAGGGUCCAUCCAGUGGGAUCAAGGGAGCAGAGCAGCAGGAGGAUCUUGCUGCGUUCCUAAACUUCCCAGGCUGGAUUCGAACUUGUGAUCAUCCUACCUCAGCCUCCCAGAGUGCUGAGUUUACAGACCACUGGAGAUUAUAGUUGGUGCCUCAGAGAUUGUCAUUUAAUGGUUUCAUGUGAGUAUUAAUUUUAUCUACUCAAUUUGAAUAUAGGCAUUAAGCAGUGUUUUUUUUUGUACCGGGGAUCGAACUUGGGACCUUGCACUUGCAAGGCAGGUGACAGAACGACUGAGCUAAACCCCCGGCCCUUGCUUUUGCUUUUUAUUAUAUAUCCUGCCUAUUCUAACAUUGUGUGAGGUACAUAGAACUUGCCUAGUAAAUGCUCAUAAAAUUUAUAAUAGGUAACAGUUAAUGAUGGUAUGUUAUUUAAUAAGCACUGUCCUAAAAGCUUAUUAUCUCAAUUAAUCCUCUAAGUGGUUUUAGUAUCUUCAUAAAUGAGAAAAAUCAACAAUUUAGAGAGAAAGUGUGUAGACAAGGUUAUGCAUUUUGAUAAUUUGUGGUAUACUGGGGUUUGAAUUAAAACCUGUCUGAUUCCAAAGCCUGUUUUUUAACUUCCAUAUUAUAUUAUCUAUUUAUUUUUAAUAAUAUGACUGUUGCUCAAUGUAUAAAAUAAGCAGAGCUCAAGAAAGUACUGGUAAUCCAACGGCAAGUCAAAACACCAAGUGUUAACCAUGGUAAAAUCUGUAUGAUGGAAAUGAUGCUAAAUUUUUAAAAUAAAUACACAAAAAUAGAAAACUGGUAUAUAUUAAUGAGAUCAUAUGUGAUCAUAUUUCAAUAUAUGUAUGCCUUAUGUGAUGUUUAAAUGAGAUUAAACAUCUCCUCAAAUAUUUAUUAUUUAUGAUGAAAACAAGUCCUUUCUUCUAGCCUUUUGAAAUAUACGGUAUAUAAUUGUUACCUGUAGUCACACUACUGUGCACACUAGAACUUCUUACUUUUAUGUCAUUGUGACUCAGUAUCCAUUGAUAUCAAUCUUUCCCAUCUCUCCUCCUACUCUCCUCCAGUGUUUGGUAAGCACGAUUCUAAUCACAACUGCUAUGAGAUUAAUUCUUUUAGAUUCCACAUACGGGUGAUAUCAUGCAGUACUUUUCUUUCUGUGCCUGAUUUAUUUCUUUUAACAUAAUCUCCAUCCACCUCAAUCCGUUUGUUUGGGGACUGAACUGAGGGCCUUAUGCAUGCUAGGCAAACACUACUGCUGAGCUAUACUUACAGCCCAAUUCCAUCCAUAUUGUUUCUGUGGUGGAUUAACUAUUGGUCAACUUGUAAUGCUCAGCUGAACUGAGUCAAUACGGCUCUGGGUGUGGAAGACCCUCCUGAGGAUUGUUGCCAAUGGCAUAAAAAGAAACUGGAGGGGAGAAUCGAUGUUGAUUUUCAUGGAGAAGCUUGCUGCGGCUGGAUUUCCUGAUGUGAACUCGGCUGUUCUCAUUGCCAGAGGAUCUCGGAUCCUUGCUGUUGCGGGGGCUGGCUGCUAUUCUCGUCAAGGGAGCUCUGAUCUUCAUCGUGAACCUCAGCCUGGUUACAGAUCCUUCACCCCGCCGGCACAGACUUUCUAGCUUCCAUCAUUGGUCUUUGGGCCUUUCCAGUGCAGAUCCUUGAUAUGGACUUGCAUGAGACAUUGCCACGGGCUCUAGGCCUUAGCUGGACUCAAGGGGAAAAUUGCUGUGGGGUCCAAGCCCUCAGCUGGAUUCUUCAGGUCUCUAGCACAUGGACAGAUCUCUUGAACUCCUCUGCAUUUGACUUUUUGGUGAAUAUUAUAAAUAAUCCUGUAAAUUAUGUGUCCUGUAUUAAGUCUAUUCUCUCUCAAACCCUGACUACAACAGUUGCAAAUACAGGAUUUCAUCUCUUUUUGAUUGAUUGAUAAAGAGUAUUUCAUUGUGUAUAUGUAUCACUUUUCUUUAUUCAUUCUUUAUUUAAUGGACACUUAGGUUGUUUCCAUUUCUAGGCUAUUGUGAAUAGUUCUGCAAUAAACAUAGGAGUCCAGAUGUCUCUUCAACGUACUGGUUUCAUUUCCUUUGGACAUAGAUUUAGUAGUGGGACUGCUGGAUCAUGUGGAAGUUCUAUUUUUAAUUUUUUGAGGAAACUUCAUAGUUUUUAAAUAAUGGCUGUAAUAAUUUACAUUCCCACCAAUGGUAUGUAAGGGCUUCCUUUUCACCACAUUCUUACCAGCACCUGUUUUCUUUUGUCUUUAUGAUAAUGGCCAUUCUUACUGGAGUAAGGUAAUACCUCAGUGUGGUUUUGACUUACAUUUCUUUAAUGAGUAAUGAUGUUGAGUAUCUUUUCAUACACCUGUUGGCCAUUGGUAUGUCUUCUUUAAGAAAUGUGUUUUCAGGUCUAUUGCCUUCCCCCAUCCCAGCCUCCCUUCAGUACUGGGGAUUCAACCCAGGGACCUCAUGCAGAGCUACAGC